rnacentral:rRNA from 1 species
CCUACGGGCGGCUGCAGUGGGGAAUAUUGGACAAUGGGGGGAACCCUGAUCCAGCCAUGCCGCGUGUGUGAAGAAGGCCCUCGGGUUGUAAAGCACUUUCAGUGAGGAAGAACGCCUGGUGGUUAAUACCCAUCAGGAAAGACAUCACUCACAGAAGAAGCACCGUCUAACUCCGUGCCAGCAGCCGCGGUAAUACGGAGGGUGCGAGCGUUAAUCGGAAUUACUGGGCGUAAAGCGCGCGUAGGUGGCUUGAUAAGCCGGUUGUGAAAGCCCCGGGCUCAACCUGGGAACGGCAUCCGGAACUGUCAAGCUAGAGUGCAGGAGAGGAAGGUAGAAUUCCCGGUGUAGCGGUGAAAUGCGUAGAGAUCGGGAGGAAUACCAGUGGCGAAGGCGGCCUUCUGGACUGACACUGACACUGAGGUGCGAAAGCGUGGGUAGCAAACAGGAUUAGAUACCCUAGUAGUC